GAGAUGAAAAAUGAUGUUUGU
rnacentral:siRNA from 1 species